rnacentral:piRNA from 1 species
UCCNGGGGCACCUGCACUCAACAUGCACACU